CAAACGUGGGCAGCUUGUGACACGUGCAGACCUCAGCCCAGGCAGUGACCCAGCGGAACGGGAGACAGUGGAUGUUCUCCGCACACACCCAGUUCCCAGCCCCAGGGAAAGGCCGAGUCAGGUCACCAGGGUGCCGAUGGUUUGUGAUCACUGGUGAUCCCACCACUGAUGUUGGCAUCCUGACUGAGUCUCAGACACCUGGGCUUCACUGCAGCUGAACAAUCCUCACCCCACACAGACAGGCAGCCAGCAAGUGAAGGUAAAGACUUGCUAUGCUGACUCAGAGGAAAGGCUGAACAAGCCUGGGCUCCUGCCUCUGACAGUGGCCAGAGAAUCUUCAAGAAAGUCAAAGAAGAAAACAAGCACUUUUCCCUGAUUCAUCCUCUUCACAGAAACCUGCUCCGUACCCAGAGAGAUCCAGGCAGGCAGGGAGAAGGUGACACCGUGUUUAUAUAACUCAGUUCUACCAGUGCUGCCACUUCUGUCAUGUUAGGAUACCUGUAUCCCCCAGGUAUUUUUAUUACUAGAAUAAAUCCUGCCUGGAACUACUGCUGAGGUCUGUGGGUAAGUGCUAGCCUGGCCUUCCAACUUUUUUUCCCCAUAUUUAUUUCUUAUGCUGCUGUCACUUCUGAAAUCCUUCUCCUUUUAGUUUCUUUUCCCUGAAAUGCUGUGGUUGGGUUUCCCAGAUGUGUUCCUUGUUGAUCAGGAAUUUCUAAAUGCUGAGAAGGAAUUGCAGGAAAGCACUAGGCAGUGGGUCUUGUGUGAUGAUAAACCAUAAAAACAUUUAAUCAGAUAGAAAGUCUUGCUUUCUAUUUCAGUCACCAUUUUUGGAGCACAUAUGAGAGGUUAGAAAUUAAUUUUGGCAUAAAUAAAGUAAAUUCAAAUAAGAGGAGAAACAUGUGCCAUUUUUGUCAGUAUUUUGUGGGAAAAGAAAACCAACCCAGCUGAGGAAAAACAAUUAUUUUUAAUUGCUUACAUGAUUGAAAUCUGUAUGAUUAAGCUGGUGUUUAGCUGAGGGAAAAUAGUAUAGUUCAGUGACUUUGCAUGUGGCACAGAGAUGAAUAGUUCUGUUUCUUAACAAACCUCAAACAUUCUCAUUGUUCAAGAGAUUUCUAAUGACCUCUUGUUGCUACUUUUUUCAGGUUCCCUUUUUCACACAUUUUUUUCUUCCCCACAGUCAUUUCAUCCUUUUGCUAAACAGUUCCCACUGGAAGAGAGACAAUGGAAGAGAGAAAUGCAGCAGAAACCUUGGGGCAUUCAGCUUCUCCCUUAUUCCCAGCACGGUGUAGGAUCUGCCAUCUGAUCUUCCCUCUAGCAGUACAUGUGAAGGGUCAGUAACACCCUUGAAACAGGUAAAAUUAAACCUGUCCUACUUUUGGAAGGUUGCAGAAUUCCACACAUUGUAACUAACAGUGAUACUAAUUUACUGUAAAAUCCUGUGUGUAUGUUAAUGAGCUCGGUCUUGCUAGGGCUAAAAAUAAGUCUCAGUGUAGGAAAAGCUUACAGAACGAGCAAAAUUGCUCAUUACCAAAAAAAAUUCAUCUGUUGUCAAAAACACUUGAUCAUGUAAGAUCUCCAGCUCUCUGUUUCUUUUGGGUAACACCAGACCUACUUACCCCUGUUCCUGAAGGUUUUGGGUGUAGCGAGCAAUUUUAAUGUCUUCUGUAGUGAGGAUGAUGAUACAAGGAUGGUGUUUUGCUUCUCAAAACAGGUAAGAAGAUGCAUCAACUCAGCCUAAUUGUUUGGAUUGAAAUUUUCCAUGUCAAAGUUUAGCCAGUUUCAUUACAGGAAAUGCUAGGUGAGAGGCGAAGCUCCCAGCCUUGACAGUAUUCAUCACUUUGGGAUGGAUCAACACCUUAACCAGACCAUAUGUUGUUCUGUCUUUGAAAAGAUGGCAGUGAAUCUUGGAAAGAGAAAGGUGUAUAAAGUGAUUAUUGGAGUCAACUUUGCAGCCAUCCACGCAAUAUUCAAAGGUGACCAUAUCUUUUCUGCUUUGUUUUCUUAGCAAACCCUUUGGAAGAGUUUCUGUUCUUGUGUGUAUUUCAGCCGUAUUUCAGUGGGGUUUUACUUGUAUGUGACAUUUCUUAGUGAUGUCAAACUUGCACAGAGGAAUGCAAAGCUGCAGGCUUGGUUUUUGCUUGCUUGUUGCUAAACCCCAGGUCUCACAUGUCUGUUUUGGCCAGCAGUCACUUUCUGCCAGAUCACAAGGCUAGUCUUUGCUCCCUUUCAUCCAGCUGUCACUGGUGCUCUCUAAGGCACCACCAGCUAGGCUGUAUGUCAGGAAAUGCAAAAUUUGCUAUUCUGCCUCAUGGAAGCAGCCACAGGGAGAAAGCAGUGGGACUCCUUACUCUAGAUGCCAUGGAGGUGGCCACUGGUGGGACUGGUGACAGCUGUUGGAGCUGGUGAUGUGUGUUCUGUGCUUCCAGCUGUCCCAGGGGGUGUUGCUUUGAUGCAAGGAUCUGAGGUGAUCACACAAGUCUUGGUGGACUAAAGGAAGAAAAUGCAUGGUUUAUUUACGUGUCAGUGGCACCAGGAUAUCGCAAGCAUUGGUCAGAAGCCCCUGGUGCUGGAUCCCAAUGACAAGGCAAACCCAGUUUCAGGAGAUUGGGAGUGAAUGUGUGAAUUCAGCAGGGACAGGUGGAGGGGAUCAGUUACAGAAUUGUCAUAGCUGGAAGGGGCCCACAAGGGUCAUCAAGUCCAACUCUUCAAUGCAUGGCCUGUACAGGGGUUUUGAUGAAGGGGUACAGAGUUUAGCAGAAAAAAUAACAUUCCCUCUUUUCCAAGGAGAGUGACUCGUAGGCAUUGUGUCAGAACUGCCUUAAAAGACAGCAGACUGCCUGCUUUAUAGGUCUGGACAGAUGUUUUGCCAUGUGAAGAGCACCUUUUCUAAAAUGCAAAGUGCAUGUUUCUUUGUUGUUGUUGUGCAGUGGAUAUUCCCUGUGCUGGUGUGUCACCAUGGUGCUGGACUGGGGAAGCUGAACAUCAAAAGCUUUAGGGAGCUGUAUGGCUCAAUUGUUUCUGCUUUCAUCAUCCAUUAAAAAAAAUCUAAAUGGAAGAUGAGAACCUGCGUGCCUUGGGUUCAUAUGGAAGCAAUUGUAAGACCAAGCAGCAGCAGGGUAUUUUCUCAAAGAUGAGUAGAUGGUUGGGCCUCUACAGGAAAUCUGCUGCAAACAGAUUAUUCAAAACUAACUUUUUGAGGCUGUGGGAUGUAAAUGAAAAGAAAUAGCUAAUCAAAAGGAGAAAACACUGAAAGGAAGUGUUUUAUCUGAUUUCAGAAGCUGUUGGUUUUCAUUCUGAUCUUCUUUUUCUGUAUAUAGCUUUUAGAGUGCCCUUAAGUCUUCUUAAAAGGUUAUUACUUUUCCAGUGGCAUUAGAGAGACUGAAAUGAUAUUUGCAAUGAGGGUAAGUGACUCUCUUGAGGUUCUGGCACCCACAGCUGCAGAUUAACUGGAAAUGCAGGCAUUUAGUAAAUCUGAAAAUAAGUGCCUCUUGGCCCUGUGCACUUCAGAGAAGUCAACUGAAGUUUUGUGAGUGGGACCAGAACAGCAACACAGCAUACUCUGCACAAGGGACACAUAUUUAGAAAAAUUAAUCCCUCCAGAAUGAAUUCUGGCUCUUAAGGUAAUGGCCUCCAUUCUUUUUGCCCAGACUAUCUCAUCCAUGGAAGUCUGGGAAGCCCUGCUGUUAGUUCCAUGGAUGGGAACAGCGAGACUUCCCUUUCUGGUGUUAGUUGUGGCUGACCAGAGGUGUAAUUCUUAAAAAUUCCUGUUAUUUAAAAUCUCCUCGGGUUUCCAGUUUCCCAAGUAAAAGAGCUCCAUUCGAGGUCUGGAGUGGAUUAAAGCAGUGAGUGCUAAUCCAGAACUGGUUCUUGAGAUGCUGCACUGGUAGGGAGAUGGCUUCAACCACGAUGAGGUGAAAGGCCAAGAAGGACCUGGCAAUCAAAAACCAGCGCAGGAGACAGAUGGAUAAUACCAAUGAGGCGUGUGCACAUACAUACUCCCAUACACACAGCUUUGUCUCAGUUGUACAGAAAUGUUCCCUGUCUCCCCAGCAGUCACUAACCCACUAUUUUUCUUCCAGAAAGUAAAUCCUUGACAGACUUGAAGUGAUGAGUAAUGACUCCACUUUCUUCCAUUCCAGCUGCCACACAGGCACGCACGUUGGUUGCUCAUUGACCCAGCAAAAUUUGAAUGUCUUCCCCUUCUCUUGUUGUCCCAUGUCUACCCUAUCACUUACCAGUUGCUUGCUGUUAUGGUAUGGUGGGACCAUCUUCUCUCAGCAGGCACUGCAGUUGUUUUUUACAAGAAGAAAGAAAACGUUGGUGAGCAGUGGUACACAUCUAGGGAAAAUGUCAGCACUUAAACCCAAGCCUUGCUUUUCCCUCUGAGCUGUCAUAGCUGGAUGCUCUGCCCUUCCUUACAAGUGGGUUUGAGGAGGUGGUUGUUUUGGCUGGAAUUGGAGAGGCACAGGUGGUACCACCAGCUGUAAAUUGGAGGAGGCACUUCCUGAUUAUGACCACUGCCUACACACAGAUCACUGCCAAGAGUGGAGCUGGAAGGCGCAGAAGCCUUCUCCUUACUUGGAAAAGGAGGGUAGUCAUCACUCCCCUCUCCUGCAGGCUUUCACCUGGACGUUGGGCUUCUUUGUCACUACUUGGCUUCCUAAAAUGCUGUGAUGUGAACAACCCUCAGCCACCAGUGAGACAUGGAUAAAUUGAGGCACAAAGUAUUUAAAUUCAUGCAUCUAACAUUUAGAUGCUUGGGUCUAUAUAUACAAGUGCAUGGCAUGUUUGAAAACCAGCCUACUUUUAAGAGGCUUCAGCAUGGAUUCAGAUGUCUGCUUAGCUAUGGCAAAAUAAGUGGUGAAUGACUUCCUGACUGCUGCAAUGUCAAAAUUUUGCCCUCUGACUCUAAAUGUCAGUAGUGAGAUGCUUGUACCGAGCUGCAGAGCGAGCAUGCACCAGGCUCGUCUGUGAGGAGCUUGGAAUGUUGCUCUGGGAGUGCAGGGAGGAAUUUCAGAGGGCACUGACAGCUACCUGGUCUCAGCUGCAAGCACACACCCCCAUUUGCACUUACGUAUUUUUAUUUCCAGGUUACAAUUUUUUAGUUCUUGUCUGGUGCUCAUGUCUCCACCUUCACAUAAUGGAGACCUCUGUUUGCUGGCCUUGACUUGCUUUGUCUCCAGGAAAAUUAGGCUGCCUUGUCACCCUGUGUGCUGAAAGCCCUUUCCCUGGGUGAUGCCUUGGCCUAUUGCCAUCUCACAGUCUUGGUUUUCAUUUCUUGUCCUAAACGUGGAUCCACUGCACAGGGUGCAGCAAGUGAGGGAGAGGCACUGGAGGGUUCACCCACCACUGCGCACUCCACGCCCACAAGCACCAGAAGAGAGCCAGAUUAAAAGAUUAAAGUCCCAAACUGCAAACCUCCUUGGGCUCCCCAUGAGAUCUGAGUGCCUGGCUGCAAGGCCAAACUCCCACUCCAGAGAUGUGCUGUCGCUCGUGCUGGAGCCGCCGGCUCCCGGCAUCCCCUCCUGCUGCUGGCUCUCGCCGGUUUUACGGAACAAGAAUUAAAUAAUAAACCGGUUUUGCUCUGAAGGAAGGUCCUGAGUGACGCCUUGGCAAUACCUGGGGGCUCAAGGGUGGCUUUACGCUCCCCUCGUUGCACACCUGAGUUUUGGGGUUUGUAGCCUUCACUGGCGCCUUGCUUGCUUGUGUUGUGGUGGCUGGAUUGCUUUGCUUGGGAUGUGGGAUGGGGCUGGAGAGGGAGGGUGGCAGUCAGCAGCAUGGUAAGCACACAGGGAGGGUCGUGAGUCCUUUGACAUCAUCUGGUCAAUUCUUAGAGGUCUCUUACAGGUUUCACCCUAGCAAAACUAUCACUAGGUGUGUGUGCUCACAGGCACUGUAUUUUCUCUCUCUUUUUUUUUUUUUUUCCAUCCCACUUGAUCUUCAUUAGGACUGGGCAAAUAAUUGCCUUUUUGGAUUUAUGGCUGAAAGGCACAGAAGUCAAACUGUCGCACUAUUACUGUGUUUCUGUCUGUAAUUUUUGUUUGACCAAAGCAGUGAGUCGGAGCCAAAAUGAUGAUUCCAGCAACACCACAAUACUCAGCACGCUGAGCUCUCAAAAGCAAUUUUUUCCCUAGUUUUGUUUUUUUAAAUUUUUUUUUUAAUAUUUUUGAGUGCUUUUUUAUCAGAAACGGGUCAUUUCAAAGCAAAAAGUUCAGAUCUGCUAUUUUGAAAGCAUUGGAAUAAUAUAUUUUUACUUCUCAGGAGUUGUUCUUCCUUCUCCUCCCUGUGCUUUUCAGAGGAAGCUUUUUGUCAGACACGGGCUGAACCUGUGAAGGUGUUCGGUUCUGGAGCUCCCUGUUUCAGCACAUUUCCCAGCUCUGCUUCCCAAGGGCUCAGGUGACACCGAAGUAGAGUGCAUGCCAGCACCUUCUGGCCCUUCAAGAAACGCUGUGGGGCCACACAAGCCGUGCCAGAGUGGCCAUGUGCCCAUUGUGCAGCCUGCCCUGCCUCCAGCUGCGGAAGCAUUGGGAUCUGUGCCUCCAGGGAGAACAGCAGCAGGACCUGUGUUUCCCAAGCUGCUGAAAUGGGCAUAACCGAAAUAUCACACAGGUACAACCCUAAAAUGGACUAAUUUCCAGGUUUGUGUCUGGUUUGAUGAAUUAAAGGCUAAGUUUUAGCAAAGUCUUUUUUUAUUAACUGUAUGCUCACAUAGGUCUUUGUGAUGCAUCUCUGUCUUCCAACUGAUUAUAAUUAUUGCACUGUUUUAUUUACAUAGGAUUAAUGUAAUUCAAAUUACUAGAUGAAAUUCUUUGAUCUCCAGGGUACAAGAGGUGAGAUUAUGAUGAUUUACAAUUUUAAACAGUUGCUCCUGGCCAUAAAAUCUAUUCAUUUGAAAAUCAAUAGAAAGAUAUCACUUGCCAUGUUGAUGAGAUAAUUUCCUCUGCUACUCAGCCCUGACCCUAUUCUCCUGGUUUUCACCAUUCUAUCAAGUUUGGAUACCUUUUUUUUUUUUGUUCCUGGAAGCUCUGCUCCACCUGAUCCUGUGCAGCCCUUCUGUGUGUCUGUGGUAACUCUGUUUUAAUUUGAAGCCACUUUCUGAUUUAUAUGCUCCAAGCAUGCUAACUCUUUUUCCAGCCAUGCAUUCAGUCAGAUGGUGUAGCUGCCAAAAAUAUAUGCAGCUCCAUAUUCGUUCUUUGUUGCAUUGUGUGAAUUUAGAGGUGCAGUGUAUUAGAGACUGUAAACUUUCUGAUCUCUAACAAGGGCUGUUGUCUGUCCAGCAAGUCCUGCCCAUUGCACAAUGGGAUGAAUACUUAUGAUGCUAAAUAAUAAUACUUGCCUCUGACCCUCUUCAUCAGCAGAUCUAGCAUUGCUUCACUGAGGAAGCAGUCAAAUCAUUAUCCUAAUAUCCAGAUGGGGAAACUAAGGUGCUGCAAGGUGAAAUAACUUGUCCAGUGUCAGCAAAGGAGAGCUAGAAAGGGAAAGCAGCUGUCUCUGUCCCCAGCUACACCCUGCAGCGUCCUCAAUGACAAUGACAGCUCAUGAAAUUUGUCUUUUAUGCACUGCAUUCUUCUCUAUUAACAGCAAACAAUUCCAGUGUUUUCUUCACAGGUAUUAAUAGCCUCCCUGAGAAAUAUGUUUCAACAUGCAUUUUCAGCAGUACUUGUGUGUGUGCUGUGCCCCAGCCAGCAGCUGUGACCUGCUAGGAGGAGGCAAACUGGGGCGAGGUUGCACCUACGCCCCUGCACCCUGCUCCUCUGCUCCAGCACCCCUCCGCUCCUCCAGUGGCAGUCGGGGAGGUUGGGGACCGACCACAGAGAUGUUCUGCAAUACCAACUGCUGUGUUGGCAGCUUUGGAGUUGCCUCUGGGUCUGACUUACUGUCUUGUCUCCUUGAAUAUAAUUGCUCACUGCUGAGGUUUUUUUUUCCUUUCUCUUUGAUUCUGUAGCACUCGUACCCUACUCAGAUUCCUCAUCAAUCUCACAAUCUGGGGAGUCUGAGGAAAUAGAGAACUGAUCAUCUGCAGACUUCUUCUGCAUAUCAUGAAAGUGUCCCUGUGCCAUGUGUGAUUGCAAUCUCUUUUUCCUUUAAUCAGACAGAACAUCAGAGUGUCAGACUGUACCAGCCAGGUCUGUGUGCUGGGUGGGGAAGGAUGGAGCUGCUUCUGCGGAGGUGCUCCUGGCUCCCUGGAAGUGACAGCACAACUCUGGCUUCCCCCUCCCCAACCCUUCUACCUCCCCACCCUGCUCAGCUCAGCCUUGCAAAUGUUCCACGGCAGGGCAUGUUCUGCCCUGCUGGGGCUCAGCUGCUGGGGCAGCACCGGCUGCGGGGAGUCCUUGAGGAGUGGCAGAACACGUCUGCCUGGAAAUCUGCCUGUGCUGCAGAUGAACCAAUUCCUUGCUAUUUGGAGGUCUCCAGGGAUCAAAUUACUUCAUCGAAUUGGCCAUAAUUGUAAUGAUUUCCACCCAAGAACCUUAGCACGUUGGUAGGAAAAGCACGUGUAAAAGCUUGAGUGGUUUAUGUGGGUGCAAGGGUGCAUGUGCUCUUUAUACAUUACACUGGAGGUUCAUCACAAGCUUUUCAGCGCUCUGUAGGGCCUCUCUCAUGAAGGUCAGACUAGGUAGUCCACACUAGGUAAGGGCCUUAAAUUUUGGCAUUUAUUCCUUAGCUUGUAAGCAUUUUAGGAGGGAAAGGAGAUCUCAAAUAGAGGUAAAGUUCUGCCACCUUCAUCUAUUUUUAGUGUUUUAUUCACUUAGUGUUACAACUUUUUGCUUUUACCUACCUACUCUCAGUACACUACAACCAUUUAGAUACUGAAAUAUAGGAGAAUAGAACAGCUAUAAAAUUAACAGAGCUCUAUCCACUCAUCCCUUCCCAUUUGUGCAGGGCAACAUCUGAAGGACACUGUUACCUCCAGAUGUCAGGACAUGUGGCAGAAGGAGCAGACUCAGAGCUUGUGUGUCCUCUGUGGUAUGUAAGCAGAAACAGUGCCUAGACAGGAAAGUGUUUGAAUGUUAAUGAUAGGACAGUGCUAAAAAACACUUUAGAAACCCUUCCCUGCUUUUUGCUGGGGAAAUCUCAAUUUGUUGGCUGCCACUGGCUUUUUGCCCAGCAUUCUCAGAACUGCUGGUGAAGGGAGACAGCAGAGCACAUUCGUCCUAUUCCUCUUCCCCAGAGUGAGAUGCCAGACUGGAGCAGAUACGCUGCUGUUCCUGUUCCUAAGGACACACUACAGUGGAGACUACAUUCUGGUCAACCCUUUCCUAUACCUGCCUUGAUAUAUUCAGUAGCCCAGGGCAGGGCUGAGUUACAUCUCACUCCCUAGCAGCCCCUGGAAGCACAGCUAAGUGAUGUGAGAAUCUCCUCAAAUCCAUUGGGAUGCUCCCAGAGCAGUGUUGUUAGUCCCUCUUUCCCUAGGAUGCACGCUCACAGUCCCAGGCAUGCAGUAUCCCUGGAGUCCCAGCACAGCAUUACCCUGGGUGGGCUUCAGCCAUGUCCCAGGAGCUUCUUGCAGGAGAAGGGAUUUGUGUUGGGGACCCCUGGCUAAAAUUUGGCUUUCCACCUUGAUGUGCAUUGUUCCUGCUCCUUUUCUUUCCAUGGGAGGGGCUGAAUUUCUGUUGCAUGGUAUAUAAAGCAUUGAGGACGAAAAGUCUAUACAAGUGUGAUACUAAUAAUAUUUUGCAGCUUUAAUUACCAUGAUUGUAGUGCCUAGAGGCGUAUGCAAAAACAUUUUGAGUGGGUGGAGAGGAGGCAGUGCUGUGAACAUUUUUGUGGUUUAGCUGGGCAAUGUGCAAUGGAGUUUUCUCAUGGGAACCACAGCAUGCCAGGGAGAAGAGCUGCCUCUGCCUCCUCAUCUGUUCUGUUGGGAUACUGGAUCACACCCCAAAGACGAGGAGACAGCCCCAGUCACUCCAGUUCUGGGGAAAAGCUGGGCUGAGCUUUGCAGAGGGGCUGUAGGGGCAGGUGCUGCUUGUUCCUCCAGGCAACAGGUCUUUUUCCUCAGGCAACAUCCCUUCCAUCAGGCAGCUUCACCUGCGGGGUGAUUUUCAGAUUGGGCAAGCGCUGAUUUGGGGCAUGGACUUGCCAGCAGGCUGGAGAGAGCGCGCCUGGUCCGGGUCAGGGUGUGCACUGCAGACAGAGCUCCCGCCAGCCCAGCCGCCCACCCGUCCCUGCCGUGCCUGCGUGGGCAGCGCCAGGGACACACAGAGGGCCCUGUGUGGCACCCGCCAGCACCCUGCCCCACUGCCAGCAGGCUGAACGCACCCAGGGUCACAACUCACUGGAAAUACCCCCUGUAGGAAUGCAAGUUUUGAGAGUUUGGGUGCUACGAAAUGAAAAAAAGGGUGCCUGUGUUUCCCCAGCUCCAGAAUGUGGUCCUGCAUCCUUAGAACUUUAAAAAACUUUGUUCCUAGAUCAUAUAUUAAUUUUUAGACGUUUUUAUGUAGUUUUGGUGACAGUGAUUUGACAUAGAUGCUACAAAGCCUCGGCCUUCUAUUGGAAAAACUGAAGGAGAAAUUCAGUUUUGUUUGGAGUUGUUUACCAAGGAGCCAGGUCAGGAUUCUGCUUCCUGCUCAGACAAACAGACAUGAGGAGCAAGGGAGCCAAGGUAUGGAUUAGAAGGCAAGGCAAAAGGAAAGGAAACGCUCUGUGAAAGGUAUUCCCAGCUUUGGGCAGAGCUGGACAGUUGCCUACAAGACAAGCAUAUUUUAUUGAGGCUUUUUUCCCCCUCGCUCGCUAAUUUUUUCUACACAUGUAGUACUUUUUUCUAUUGUUAUCUGCACUAAACUGAGUUACUUCAUUUAUAAAUUAUUUAUCACUGAA